UGGGGAGGGGGUGAGGAGACAGACACAGCGGCAAAAGCUUUGAAAAAUAGGCCUGUCAACUGAUUGUCAGACGUAACUGAGUUUAACGCUCAUUAAAAAAUGCACACAGGGACAGGUCAGGAGCAUUUGGAAACCUUGUCAGAUGACGAGCCAGCGCGGCUAAAUGCAAAGAGUGAUGUUUAAUGUUGUUGUGGGGUUGCUAUAUUUAGGACACUCUGCACAAACAAUGUAACCUUCGACUUGUAGAGUGGAAGAGAAACACGUCUGAUCGCUGACAGUCUGGACUAGAUGAAGUGUUCCUGAACGUCACUCCAGUGCUCAGAGAGAGACUUCCAGGUAUUCAACUCGCACGCUGACAAGAACUGCCGAAGGCUGACAGGCCUUUGUUCUACUGCCAGAGAAAACAAAACAUCAGCUCGUGACUUGAGGAUCUUGACUUCAUGACAUAUCGAUAUAUCCGACUGUUUUCAUACAUACUCUAUACAUGGACCAUAAGGGCUGCAGUGUACUCACAGGUGAAGUUGGAGUGGAUGGUUUUCGCUGCCAGGAGGCUGUUGACGGUAAUCUGAUAGAUGAUGUGGAGCAGCAGGAAGGACAUACUGGUGAAGCAGAGGGACUGCAGCAGACGCCCUGUGUGGCCUGGAGGAGGAGAGCAGCUACAGUAAAGAACACAGCUGUCAGCAGACAUUACUGAUCCUGGGAGGGAAGGAUGAGGAGCUCCCACAGCUGCUCCACACAUGGCUAUUUUAUAGUGCACCUACAGGUAUUUGGGAUAAUUUCAGGAGUUGUUAUGGUGAUAAUUCUCUACAGUAGGAUUUUUCAGACCACAUCCUAUUAUGAAAAUGAAAAUGUUCAUCUUCAGAGAGGACACAAGCUUGAUUGGACUCUUCUUCUUUGUGGAAGAAAUGACAAUAAUGUGCCCUGAAAGAUUAAAUCGUCCCACAUUGCUUCACGAUUUGGUUCACUGCUUCUACACAGGGCAAACAUCUCCAUCUCAUUAGAUUUACUGAAUCCUUGCAGGGGAACACAUAACAGUUUUAUUAUAGUGUAUGGCAAAAUAUCCUGGCUAAGGUGAAGCGCUACUGCUGAGCCUCGGGGCGAUUCGAGGGCUAACCUUAUCAAAUGUGUGCAACCCACGGCAGGCAAAUUAAAUGUUGAAGUGAAAACAAUUUGUGCUAAUUUCCCAUUGCAAUUCCCCGGGCUUUCACAAAGGGGGAAAAGAAUGCUUGUAAAUGUGAGGUAUGAGGACUGUUAGUGAGUUUCUGCGUCCAAAUUGGUCCUG